GCUGGUGGUUCUUUGCUAAAUCUACAACACUUCCCAUUCUGGAAAUGCAGUGCAGGUGCUACUGGCUGGGAUUUCUCUGCAAAGGGAAGUCUCUGGGAUGCAGCAAGUCCUUCACAGAUUCAUUCUCAGAAGUUUCCACAAGGAAGAAUGUGUUUCAUCCAGCCUCUGUGUAGAAAAUCAGGAAGGGGAAAGGGAGAGUUACUGUCCUGUGUUAGGAGGAAACCCUGAAUUCUGUGCAUCUGACACAGCUUCUGUCAAGCAUGAAGCACAUAAAUGCAGGCUCUAUUCCCUGCUCACAACAAGGACCUCAGGAGCCCACCCUGCAAUUGACAGCUUUGACACAAACACUGCUGACUGAUGGGAAGAGUGUGCUACCCAUUUCCUGGCAGCAAAAUGAAUAUUCUUGCAAUGUUGCUUUCUCUUGUCAAGGACUGAAGUCAUUAGCACAUCCAAAUCUUUUACCUUUUGGGAAGUCAUUACUUUCAAAACUGUGGGAAAAAUACACUUUCUCUGCUGUGAUAUAUUAGAGUUAUCCUUUGAGGGAAUUUCAUAUGAGAAAAAGACAUGGAGAGGGAUUUCUUAUUAAGAUCUACAUUCAGCAGCUAACUGUAGCUAGAGUUGUACUCAUACAGUGGGGAGGGAAUGUACACACAAAUGCUUAUUUUAAUGAGAGAGAAAGUGUAGGUAGAAGCAGAUGACCUAGAUGAUUUUAUGAAUAAAAGAUUUAAUCUGAUGCAAUCAUUUCAUUAAUACACACAUGGCACCAAAUGAAAACAGAGCAUAGCAGAUGGCUAUG